CUCUGAUGCUGAUGGAUGUAGUAUUUUCUUUAGGGAUCAGGUGACUUGGCAGCAUCCUGGGGACCGCCAACGCUAAAGGUGACUCCAGGGCUGGAGUCCAGAGCUCAGGAAGAAAAUGAUCUCUGAGAAAUGUGGGUCUGUGAGAGGUGGAGGAAGACCUGAGCUUGGUACCAAUAACAGACGGACUCCAAACACCUCUCAGUGUAGGGGACUCUCCUUCCUGUGGACCAAUCCUGCAGCCCAGCCACGUGUAGGAACAUAUCACCAGACUUUUCCCAGCCCAGAGCUGCCCUACGGAAAGGUAGGGCUGAGGAGAAGUCCUGUGCUUGUUUCUUCGUGUAAUCGCUGGGGAAUCACACCUGGUCCCUUCUGCUCUUCAUAAAUGACAAGCAGCCUAGAUGUGUGCCACACAGGGAGCCAAGACAGCGUGGCAGAUGCAACACCACAACCAAGGAGACGAGAGGAAAGGGUUUAUUCAACUUCCACUUCCAUAGCACUGUUCCUCAUCGAAGGAGGUCAGGACAGGAACUCAGGGCAGAAACUCGGAGACAGGAGCUAAUGUAGAAGCCAUGGAGGAGAGCUGCUUAUUUUCUUGCUCCUGUGGCUUGCUC
rnacentral:lncRNA from 1 species